AUGGAGUCAAACCCGCAGGCGGAGACAAUCAGCGACCCGUUCUUGGCGGCGACCUCGUGGAGGUCGGCCUCGACGCGCUCCAUGAACUCGGGCUCGCCGGAGAUGUCGAGGCAGUCGGCCCCCGCCUCGGCGCAGGCCGCGGCCACCUGGCGGCCGUGGAGGCGGAAGGGCCCUGCGCAGGAGAGCAGGACGCGCGCCCGCGCGGCGACCGCGGCGAGGGAGGCCGGGUCGGAGGCGUCGGCGACGAGGAUGGGGACGUCGGGGGCGGGCCCCGGCGCGGCGGCCCAGCGUAGCGCGGCGGCGACGCGGUCCCGGCUGCGGCCCGCGAGCGCGAGGGAACGCAGCGGGGAGGCGUUGGGGGGCAGGAACUUGAGCGCCUCGCGGAUGACGUACUUGCCGGUGAAGCCCGAGGCCCCGAAGAUGACGACGUCGAACACCUCCGGCCCCGGCACUGGCGCCGCCAUGGAAGAGGGGCUUGGGCUCUCACUCGGGUGCGGCGCGUUGGAGUUGGACUGA
rnacentral:rRNA from 1 species